rnacentral:rRNA from 1 species
UGGGGAAUAUUGGACAAUGGGCGCAAGCCUGAUCCAGCCAUGCCGCGUGAGUGAUGAAGGCCCUAGGGUUGUAAAGCUCUUUCACCGGUGAGGAUAAUGACGGUAACCGGAGAAGAAGCCCCGGCUAACUCCGUGCCAGCAGCCGCGGUAAUACGAAGGGGGUUAACGUUGUCCGGAUUUACUGGGCGUAAAGCGCACGUAGGCGGACUUUUAAGCCAGGGGUGAAAUCCCGGGGCUCAACCCCGGAACUGCCUUUGAUACUGGAAGUCUUGAGUAUGGUAGAGGUGAGUGGAAUUCCGAGUGUAGAAGUGAAAUUCGUAGAUAUUCGGAGGAACACCAGUGGCGAAGGCGGCUCACUGGACCAUUACUGACGCUGAGGUGCGAAAGCGUGGGGAGCAAACAGG